rnacentral:rRNA from 1 species
GACGAACGCUGGCGGCGUGCUUAACACAUGCAAGUCGAGCGGUAAGGCCCUUUCGGGGGUACACGAGCGGCGAACGGGUGAGUAACACGUGGGUGACCUGCCCUCAGCUCUGGGAUAAGCCCGGGAAACUGGGUCUAAUACCGGAUAUGACUUCAUGACGCACGUUGUGGAGUGGGAAAGCCUUGUGCGGCUGAGGAUGGGCCCGCGGCCUAUCAGCUUGUUGGUGGGGUGAUGGCCUACCAAGGCGACGACGGGUAGCCGGCCUGAGAGGGCGACCGGCCACACUGGGACUGAGAUACGGCCCAGACUCCUACGGGAGGCAGCAGUGGGGAAUCUUGCGCAAUGGGCGAAAGCCUGACGCAGCGACGCCGCGUGAGGGACGACGGCCUGGUGUAA